AAGAUGAACGGAUGUGAAUAGCUAGCUCUUGUCCUAGGAAAGUUUAAUAUAUUUUCAAGUGUUAUUUCGACACACAACUUUGAAACGAUCACUACAUUUGCUUCGUACUUUGAGAUGACUGUAAGAUAUUCACAAAAAUCGUAAGCAAUUUUAACCUUCACAGAUGACUGCAAAUGAAGAAGAGACUCAGGUAUCCUUCACUGGAUCAUUCGAGAAAUCAUCCAAGGAAACAGGUCACUUUCUGAUCUGACGUUUUCAGUGUUCACACAAGCACACUUUGCAAUAACAGCCUUCCUUCACAAGAAACAAGAAGAAGAAAAAUAUAUUGUGUUACCUUUCAGUUGGAAUAAUCUCAAUAAAAUCACAUUGAAAAUUAA